CUUACUGGGCGUAAAGCGCACGCAGGCGGUCUGUCAAGUCGGAUGUGAAAUCCCCGGGCUCAACCUGGGAACUGCAUCCGAAACUGGCAGGCUAGAGUCUUGUAGAGGGGGGUAGAAUUCCAGGUGUAGCGGUGAAAUGCGUAGAGAUCUGGAGGAAUACCGGGGGCGAAGGCGGCCCCCUGGACAAAGACUGACGCUCAGGUGCGAAAGCGUGGGGAGCAAACAGGAUUAGAUACCCUGGUAGUCCACGCCGUAAACGAUGUCGACUUGGAGGUUAUGCCCUUGAGGCGUGGCUUCCGGAGCUAACGCGUUAAGUCGACCGCCUGGGGAGUACGGCCGCAAGGUUAAAACUCAAAUGAAUUGACGGGGGCCCGCACAAGCGGUGGAGCAUGUGGUUUAAUUCGAUGCAACGCGAAGAACCUUACCUACUCUUGACAUCCAGAGAACUUAGCAGAGAUGCUUUGGUGCCUUCGGGAACUCUGAGACAGGUGCUGCAUGGCUGUCGUCAGCUCGUGUUGUGAAAUGUUGGGUUAAGUCCCGCAACGAGCGCAACCCUUAUCCUUUGUUGCCAGCGGUUAGGCCGGGAACUCAAAGGAGACUGCCAGUGAUAAACUGGAGGAAGGUGGGGAUGACGCCAAGUCAUCAUGGCCCUUACGAGUAGGGCUACACACGUGCUACAAUGGCAUAUACAAAGAGAAGCGACCUCGCGAGAGCAAGCGGACCUCAUAAAGUAUGUCGUAGUCCGGAUUGGAGUCUGCAACUCGACUCCAUGAAGUCGGAAUCGCUAGUAAUCGUGGAUCAGAAUGCCACGGUGAAUACGUUCCCGGGCCUUGUACACACCGCCCGUCACACCAUGGGAGUGGGUUGCAAAAGAAGUAGGUAGCUUAACCUUCGGGAGGGCGCUUACCACUUUGUGAUUCAUGACUGGGGUGAAGUCGUAACAA
rnacentral:rRNA from 1 species